rnacentral:rRNA from 1 species
UACGUAGGGUGCAAGCGUUGUCCGGAAUUAUUGGGCGUAAAGAGCUCGUAGGCGGUUUGUCGCGUCGGCUGUGAAAACCCGGGGCUCAACCCCGGGCCUGCAGUCGAUACGGGCAAACUAGAGUGUGGUAGGGGAGACUGGAAUUCCUGGUGUAGCGGUGAAAUGCGCAGAUAUCAGGAGGAACACCGAUGGCGAAGGCAGGUCUCUGGGCCACUACUGACGCUGAGAAGCGAAAGCAUGGGGAGCGAACAGG